UGUCCCGAGAGCGAGAGGGGGAAAGGGCUUAACGCUGCGGGCAGGGGCGCUGUGGGAGACGCCUAGGUGGGGGUUUGCCCUGCAGGCAUUCCUGCUUUACUGGUGGGGACUGGCCUUGACCGAGGGAGGAGGUGCGCAGCGAAGCCAGGGAAGUCCUGGGAGCUGGGGUUGAGGAGGCGUGUGCCGGGGAGUCUGGGCUUUGUGGCCUGGGCGGCUGGCGCUUCUGAGCGUUCACGGUGCCCUACACCGGGAGCACCAACCCAUGGUCACCAGCCCCCGACAGAGCCAGGCCUGGGGGUUGGAGUGCGGAGGGGGUCCAGCACCCUCGAGUACAGAGGGGAGCCCCAUACCCACUACAUAGGUGGAAACCCACCUACAGAGGGAAGAGCUAUGAGGGUGCAGGGAGUGUGCCGGACGGUGGGCGGCGCCACCUGUGCGGGACGCACCGGAAGAACCUGAGUUGGGAGCGCGGACUGCUAGGGGUUCGGGUAGUGGGGGGAGGGGCAGGCCAGGGGAGGGACCUGUAGCCAGGUGAUCAAGGAGCUUGGACUUCGUCCCAAGGACAACGUGGCGCCCAAGGAGCGUUUGCUGCUGGCUGAGACCUGCUCACAUGAGGCUUUCAGAGAGCUCCAGGACGCUGACUUCCUCCAAGUCAAGGAAGAGAGAAGAGGCAAAGACGGCACCCAGUGGUCACCUGGACCCCCUACUGUCACUGGGAAACAGGUGAACAGGCCAGGAGAGCAGGUGUGCAGGGGUCAGCUGUUGCGAGUUUGAUGCGGAACGAUGGAGAGACCUGGGGACACUCAGGACUUCCGUGGUGGCGCAGUGGUUGAGAAUCCGCCCGCCAAUUCAGGGGACACAGGUUCAAGCCCUGGUCCGGGAAGAUCCCACAUGUGCGGAGCAACUAAGCCCGCGUGCCACAACUACUGAAGCCCACGCGCCUAGAGCCCAUGCUCCACAACAAGAGAAGCCACCACAAUGAGAGAAGCCCACACACCACAACAAAGAGUAGCCCCCUCUCGCCACAACUAGAGAAAGCCUGCACGCAGCAACAAAGAUCCAACGCAACCAAACAUAAAUAAAUAAACAUUAAAAAAAGAAAGCUCACAUUUCUUGAUAAAAGGUAAAUUUUAUGUUUUUUAUGUGUUUUACCACAAUUUUAUAGAUUAUUUUUAUUUAUUUAUUUUUGGCUGCACUGGGCUUUCGUUGCUGCACAUGGGCUUCUCAUUGGCAUGGCU